CCUACGGGAGGCAGCAGUGGGGAAUAUUGGGCAAUGGGCGCAAGCCUUACCCAGCAAUACCGCGUGAGUGAAGAAGGUCUCCGGAUUGUAAAGCUCUUUGAUCAGGGACGAACAGAUGACGGUACCUGAAGAACAAGCCCCGGAUAACUACGUGCCAGCAGCGGCGGUCAAACGUAGGGGGCGAGCGUUGUCCGGAAUGACUGGGCGUAAAGGGUGUGUAGGGGGCAUAAUAAGUUAGAAGUGAAAUACCCAGGGCUUAACUCGGGUGCUGCUUCUAAGACUGUUGAGCUUGAGUGCGGGAGAGGUUAAUGGAAUUCCUAGUGUAGCGGUGGAAUGCGUAGAUAUUAGGAGGAACACCAGAGGCGAAGGCGAUUAACUGGACCGUAACUGACGCUGAGGCACGAAAGUGUGGGUAGCAAACAGGAUUAGAUACCCGUGUAGUC
rnacentral:rRNA from 1 species